AGUGAACGCUGGCGGUAGGCCUAACACAUGCAAGUCGAACGGCAGCACAGGAGAGCUUGCUCUCUGGGUGGCGAGUAGCGGACGGGUGAGGAAUACAUCGGAAUCUACUUUUUCGUGGGGGAUAACGUAGGGAAACUUACGCUAAUACCGCAUACGACCUACGGGUGAAAGCAGGGGACCUUCGGGCCUUGCGCGAUUGAAUGAGCCGAUGUCGGAUUAGCUAGUUGGCGGGGUAAAGGCCCACCAAGGCGACGAUCCGUAGCUGGUCUGAGAGGAUGAUCAGCCACACUGGAACUGAGACACGGUCCAGACUCCUACGGGAGGCAGCAGUGGGGAAUAUUGACAAUGGGCGCAAGCCUGAUCCAGCCAUACCGCGUGGGUGAAGAAGGCCUUCGGGUUGUAAAGCCCUUUUGUUAGGAAAGAAAUCCAGCUGGCUAAUACCCGGUUGGGAUGACGGUACCCAAAGAAUAAGCACCGGCUAACUUCGUGCCAGCCGCCGCGGUAA
rnacentral:rRNA from 1 species